CAAGGAUGCCUGGAAGCUUCCAAGUAAAGCUAUUAACAGCAAAACAUUCUGCAGUCUUCCAGCAUCCUUAAUUACUGAUUUUUUUUCUGACAUAGUUGAAAAGCACUCAUGAUGGAGAAUUUGGUCUACAUAUCUGCAAGAAGAAUUUUUAAAUCAGCUGGCUGUCUGGGGUGGAACAGAUGUGUCUGAAAUUUACUCUCUUGCCUGUUUUCUGCUGUUCAAGGGCUAUACAUAACAAACAUAAUAACCAUGCUGUUAAGCUGUGUUCCUCAUGAGAGGCAGGCACUUUCUUCUUUCAUCUAUACCCAGAUACCUCAGGAGGAAUGCUGCUGAAAUUGGAUUGAGCAAUCUGGUCCGAAAUAAAUUUGACUCUCCGCUCUGAAUGGCAGGUUACACCAGAGGAUAUCCUGAAAUCCUUUCCAACCUGAAUUAUUCUACUAUUAUUCUGUGUUAUACUGAAGAGAGACCAGAACAGGGCCCAAGUAACUGAGGAUGUACUUGAAAUUUCAGGUAUACUGGAAAUGCAAACAGCUGCCACAAUACAAGAAGUAAAAUUGUACCUUCUUGCAUUAACUGAUUUGAAAAAAAUCUCCUGCUUUUCUAAAAUAAAAGAAGAUAAACAGAUUGGAGUAAAUUAGAAUGAGAAAAAGCUAUUGUUGUGAUGCUUCAAUCCAUUGAAAUAUGUGAGCCUGAAAGUGUCAUAAUUAAAGUUCAGGGACUUUAUUUUAGGAGGAAUUAGGUGCUAGCAGGUAUUUACUAAGGGUCGAGGUUACACUGGCCUGACAGCAGGGCAGUCAGCUCUAUAGUGUUGCAUCAGUGAUUCUGCACACCACAGCCUAAGACACAGCUGCUGAAUUGUGGUCUCAUGACUGGGAGUCCAGCUGCUCUCUCUAGGGUGCAGGUAAGAUUCAGCUGUGGUUUCAUGUCUCAUCCUCUUUUUUUCCUCUUGUCCAAUAUUGAUGCCAUAUCUUAGUAAAAGGUAAUUCCAGAAUUUUCUUUGCUCAGCCUGACUUGACUCACUCUUCAGUCAGCAGACAUCAGCAUCUGUGCUUUGUGCACUGAACUGAAUGACCUUUCUCACCUACUCAGGACAAGUACUUUUUUUUCCUUAGCAAAGAUAAGCGCUUUCUUCACCAAGAGUGAACAUGUCAAUUUAAAGCUAAGUGGGAAAACUGAAUUCUGGCAUCCUAGUUCCAGCAGGCAACCUUAGUUUAUAAGCCAGCAUGUUGCAUGGCAUUACAACACAUUUUUAUUCAAACAAAAAUGAAUAGUUGCUGUAGUUACAAAAAAAUCAUAAGAGGCUGGGAAAUGAAUGAAUUAUCAUUAGAGGAUGCAAUGGCCAAUGAAUAAGAACAGCCCUUUCCUUUUGUUUUAACCAACUGGGUGGUGACAUCAUGCCAGUUGCUAUUAUAUGAAGUGCAAAAUCUGACAGAAUACUGAACCUUCUAUGGUGUGAAUACAUAAAUGUAUAGCUAGUGCAUUUCCAGGUAUGCCUCACAUACAUAUAUUAUUGGAAUUUUUGUAAGUACAGUCAU